UCUCCACUUUCCUUGGUCAGU
rnacentral:misc_RNA from 1 species